UGGGCAUUGGGGCUGUGCCACCCGUGGUGACACAGAGCCCUGCUGUGCAGCUCCAGCCCAACCCCACUGCGCUCAGGGCUGAUGCAGUGGGGUAAGCUGGGGAAACGGGCUGCAGGAGGAGCCUUUGGUGCAUGGGGAGCUCCUGCUCUGCAUCUCCGCACAGUGCCUCAUUCCCGUGUCCUAAUUGCAGCCAGUGAGUCUGCCUGCAGCACUGGCAGCGGUGGGGCACAGGGGUGGGGGCUGCUCUGUCUCUUUGGGCGAUGCUGAGCGCUGCGGUGAGGGAUGUGGGGCAGUGCGUGGUGGGCUGUGUGGGUGUCCCACCCCCUGCCCCCCUGUGCCCAGGUUGUCCCCCCUCCGUCCCCAAGCUCUGCAAGGCUGGACCUGCCCAACUUCGUCGUCCCUGUGGGUGCAGCAGUCCCUGCCCCAGCGCUGCCUGCCCCAACCUCGGUGUUCCCAGCACUCAGGGAUGGCAGCAGGACACAAACGUGCCCCGCGCUGUUUUGUUCAGGUCCGACACAAACAACGGUGGUAGAUUUCCUCUGUGUCAGCAGCGCAGCUGUCCUGCGAGCCUCCUGCAGGGUGAGGGCAGCAAGGUGGUGACAGCUGUGUCCGGAGUGAGGUGCCAGGGCCCCCUGGGACCUCAGGGCAUCACUUUACAUAGGCACAAUAGCAGCUGGGUGAAUUGCAGGGCCCGUGGUGCCUCUGCUGUUGGGUGCUGGAGUGCAUCUCGUACGAUGUUAAAUCUGGUGGCACCCACCAUGGUGCACCACAGGCAGAAAUGGGAUCCUCGCGGCCGCCCCUUCCCCCCCCCCAGCACCUUACACUGCCGACACCAUCUGCAGCGCAACAAGAAAUCCCAAGCCAUACAUGUUUAAUUUUCUACAACACAGCAGCCAUUUCAGCCACACACCCAGAAAGGAUCUUUAAUGAGAAGCGAGGAGAGAGAGCACGCAGCACGCAGGAGAGCCGAGGCACUAUGGAAACACUCUGCUCCCUCCCGGCUGCCUGCCGCUGCUCCGAGUUCAGCCCGGAGAACUUCCCUGCACUGCUGGAGGUUGAUGAGGAGGGAUUGCCGUGACCCCGUGCCUGUGACAGUCGUUUCAGGGCUAAGCGGGGCAUCCGAGCAGCACAGAGCCCCGUCGGUGGGUCCCGGGCUCCUCCAGCAGCAAGAUGGCUUUCUGGGGUGGCAUCCCCCCUGAUAGCAGCUCCGGAUAGCGGCUGCACCGGGGCAGCACCGAGUCCCCAGGAACAGGUCAGGUACAGCCCUCCCAGCCCUGCACCCCGCGCCAUGCACCCUGCACCAUGCACCCCGCACCCUGCACCCUGCACCAUGCACCCUGCACCACGCACCCCGCACCCUGCACCCUGCACCAUGCACUCUGCUGCAUGGGCCUGGAGCGGCAGUGGAGGAUGUAGGGGGGGCAGAACUCCCAUGAAUGAGGGAUGUGUUGGUGAGGCUGAGCCAGGGGGUGGUGAUGGGACCCUUCCUUUGGUGGUAGUGGUGGUAGUCGGUG
rnacentral:lncRNA from 1 species